GCCAAUGGCUGCGCCGUCGCGGCUGCGGGCGGAAGUCGCUGUGUGAGCCCCAUUCCUAGGUGGUGGGUUUCCGGGUUGUCCAUCGGAGGGUGGGGGGGCUUUUCUUGCGAGGCGAGCCAGACGGUAGGAAAGAAGCGCCAUGUCGGGACGCGAAGGUGGAAAGAAGAAGCCUUUGAAGCAACCCAAGAAGCAGUCGAAGGAAUUAGAUGAGGAAGAUAGAGCUUUCAAGGAGAAGCAGAAGGAGGAGCAAAAGAAACUGGAUGAGUUGAAGGCAAAAGCUGCUGGCAAGGGCCCACUUGCUGGAGGUGGGAUUAAAAAAUCUGGGAAGAAGUAGAAAGUUCUCUGGGACACCUGUGGCAAGAAAAAGAGAAUGAGUUCCUUCCCCUUUGAAGCUUAGCAGUAGGAAGAAUUUCCAAGCUAAUGUUGUGGGAAACAUUAAUAUAAGCACCUUUGUACAUUUUGUUCAAACAAAAUAAAGUAUUGGUUUGUUUUAA